AUUGAACGCUGGCGGAAUGCUUUACACAUGCAAGUCGAACGGCAGCACGGGUGCUUGCACCUGGUGGCGAGUGGCGAACGGGUGAGUAACAUAUCGGAACGUGCCCAGAAAUGGGGGAUAACUAACCGAAAGGUUAGCUAAUACCGCAUACGCCCUGAGGGGGAAAGCGGGGGAUCGAAAGACCUCGCGUUAUUGGAGCGGCCGAUAUCUGAUUAGCUAGUUGGUAGGGUAAAGGCCUACCAAGGCGACGAUCAGUAGCUGGUCUGAGAGGAUGAUCAGCCACACUGGGACUGAGAAACGGCCCAGACUCCUACGGGAGGCAGCAGUGGGGAAUUUUGGACAAUGGGCGAAAGCCUGAUCCAGCCAUUCCGCGUGAGUGAAGAAGGCCUUCGGGUUGUAAAGCUCCUUCGGCAGGAACGAAACGCUCUAGAUUAAUACUCUGGGGUAAUGACGGUACCUGAAGAAGAAGCACCGGCUAACUACGUGCCAGCCGCCGCCGUAA
rnacentral:rRNA from 1 species